GACGAACGCUGGCGGCGUGCUUAACACAUGCAAGUCGAACGAUGAAGCAAAGAAUUGAAGCUUCGGCCGAAAUUCAUUUGGGUUUAGUGGCCGACGGGUGAGUAACGCGUGAGCAACCUACCUCUUACAAAGGGAUAGCUUCGGGCAAACGGGAUUACUACCAUAUAACAUUGCGACGAAGCAUUUCGAUGCAAUCAAAGCUACGGCGGUAAGAGAUGGGCUUGCGUCACAUUAACCAGAGGGUGAGGUAUCGGCACACCAUAGAAAGGAUGGGUGACCGGGCUGGGAGGGUGAACGGUCACACUGGAACUGAGACACGGACCAGACUCCGACGGGAGGGAGCGGUGGGGAAUAUUGCACAAGGGAGGGAACUCUGAUGCAGCGACGCCGCGUGAGUGAUGAAGGAAGUCGUAACGUAAAACUCUGUGCUAUGGGAAGAAAAGGACUGUACCAUAUAAGAAAGCUCCGGCUAAAUACGUG
rnacentral:rRNA from 1 species